rnacentral:rRNA from 1 species
GAGUAAUAUAUCGGAACGUGCCCUGGAGUGGGGGAUAACGCAGCGAAAGUUGCGCUAAUACCGCAUACGAUCUACGGAUGAAAGUGGGGGAUUCGCAAGGACCUCAUGCUCGUGGAGCGGCCGAUAUCUGAUUAGCUAGUUGGUAGGGUAAAAGCCUACCAAGGCAUCGAUCAGUAGCUGGUCUGAGAGGACGACCAGCCACACUGGAACUGAGACACGGUCCAGACUCCUACGGGAGGCAGCAGUGGGGAAUUUUGGACAAUGGGGGCAACCCUGAUCCAGCAAUGCCGCGUGAGUGAAGAAGGCCUUCGGGUUGUAAAGCUCUUUUGUCGGGGAAGAAACGGUGAGAUUUAAUACAUUUCACUAAUGACGGUACCCGAAGAAUAAGCACCGGCUAACUACGUGCCAGCAGCCGCGGUAAUACGUAGGGUGCAAGCGUUAAUCGGAAUUACUGGGCGUAAAGCGUGCGCAGGCGGUUAUGUAAGACAGAUGUGAAAUGCCCGGGCUCAACCUGGGAACUGCAUUUGUGACUGCAUGGCUAGAGUGUGUCAGAGGGGGGUAGAAUUCCACGUGUAGCAGUGAAAUGCGUAGAGAUGUGGAGGAAUACCGAUGGCGAAGGCAGCCCCCUGGGAUAACACUGACGCUCAUGCACGAAAGCGUGGGGAGCAAACAGGAUUAGAUA